rnacentral:rRNA from 1 species
GGCAAGAGUCAUAUCUCCUAGCUGUUCUCGCCUGGUUUCCUACUGAAGAUAAGCAGGGUUGGGCCUGGCCAGCACCUGGAUGGGAGACCUCCUGGGGGAAACUAAUGUUGCUGCUG